UGGUCUACGAGCUGCUGCUCAAUCAAUUAGUUAUGAAAUACCAUUAACUCUAUGCGUGUUAUCAAUAUCUCUAAGUGCAAUUCGUUGAGACAUAAACCUUUCUCUAUUCCCUUUCUUUUCUUUCUUUUUUUAUAGGAAAGAAGUUGAAUGAAUUGAAUAAAUAUCGUCAUUUUUUAUUCAUCAUUCGGGUUGAUAAAUUAAAUCAGAUAGUUAUAUGAGUGAAAUAAAACAGCUUAUAAAUUCGCAGUAAAAGGAUUGAGUCUCAUUUCCUAUGUACAAGAGAAAUAAACAUAAGCAAGCAGUAGAAACUGUUUGUUUUUCCCAAGAUUGAUUGAUUAGGCAUCAAUCACGACUUGAAGCGGGUUCAAAAGACUAACUGUAUGGAGUUUUGUUUUCACUAUCUUUUCUAUGUAUUAACAUAUAUGUAGUACCAUAACGGGGGAUUGAGCAAAAAUAAGUGGAUGGCUAGGAACACCAAGGUACAUAAAGGAUUAGUAAUGGAGAUUAUGUAAGUUAUCCAAGGGACAUUUUUGCAUAAAAGGAAUACUAAUUGGGGCUUUAAAUUAGUAGAAAUGAUCAGGCAGUACUCCCCAUGAUUCCGAUCCAGAGUAUGCUCCUAUCCACUAAUUAAAGAAAUAGCUAUCAGGAACGAAAUAAUCCUUUACUUUCUUUUAAAGCCCCCUUCACUUUUUUUAGAAAGAAGACUAGGAACGAAAAAAAAAAAAAAAAAAAAGAAUGUAAUUACAAUAGAAAAAAUCUUUUCUUAUUCUUUCUUUCUUAUAUCCAUAUUCAUAGAGAUAGAAUUCUUGUCAGGAUUUAUGAAUUAAUAUAAUGUCUAAUUCUUUUUCGUAAUGGAAAAGGCGGGGUUGAAAUAUCUAUUGAUAUUUCUGCAAGGAGUAUUUUAUUGAAGGAUUAAGUUAUUACUCAACAAAGAAAAUAUUAAAGGAUGAGAGCAAUUCAGAAGUACCUUAUUUAUUUAUUAUUAUUAUAGAUUAUAGCAGACAGAAUUCCAUUGGCCUAAUUCCGAGACCUUCCGGUAGAUUUUGACUCUAUCUAUCCUACAAAUAUAUCAAGAUAAAUAAAUAAUACCGACCCGGUCCCUAGAUUAAUUAUUGGCCCUCGAGGAGCCGUAUGAAGUGAAAAUCUCAUGUACGGUUCUGUAAUAGCGAUGGGAGCAGUGAUGUUAUCACCGACUAUGAUUAUCUAUAGCGAUGGGAGCAGUGAUGUUAUCAUCGACUAUGAUUAUCUAACAGUUCAAGUACAGUUGAUAUAGUUGAGGCGCAGUCAAAAUAUGGUUUUUGGGGGUGGAAUUUCUUCCCUGCCCGGCCUCACAGUGAAAUUAGAGAAUGUGCUGUGAUGGCUUGCUGAACCAAAGGCCGUAUCAGAGAAGCUGUAGCCUUAGGUAAAUACUGCCCAUACGUAACCUCUAUAUACACUCGAAUCAGCUUUUCCAAGCACGGCACUCACUCCACAAGUAAUGAAGGCUAAAAAGUUGAUUGUUGAUUGUCAAUUGUCAUUUGUCAGCCCAAUCUUAUCCAGUGGUGUUUAGGAAAUACAUUGAGCAUCCAAUUCCGU
rnacentral:lncRNA from 1 species